GUAAAGCUCUUUCAGCCGGGAAGAAAACGCAUGGGUUAAUACCCUGUGUGGAUGACGGUACCGGAAUAAGAAGCACCGGCUAACUACGUGCCAGCAGCCGCGGUAAUACGUAGGGUGCGAGCGUUAAUCGGAAUUACUGGGCGUAAAGCGUGCGCAGGCGGUUUGUUAAGAUAGGCGUGAAAUCCCCGGGCUCAACCUGGGAACUGCGUUUAUGACUGGCAGGCUAGAGUAUGGCAGAGGGGGGUGGAAUUCCACGUGUAGCAGUGAAAUGCGUAGAGAUGUGGAGGAACACCGAUGGCGAAGGCAGCCCCCUGGGCCAAUACUGACGCUCAUGCACGAAAGCGUGGGUAGCAAACAGGAUUAGAUACCCUGGUAGUCCACGCCCUAAACGAUGUCAACUAGGUGUUGGGAGGGUAAAACCUUUUAGUACCGGAGCUAACGCGUGAAGUUGACCGCCUGGGGAGUACGGCCGCAAGGUUAAAACUCAAAGGAAUUGACGGGGAC
rnacentral:rRNA from 1 species